UAUUGACAGGCUUUAUUUGGUACAUAUAAAUUUCCAAUAUAUUUAUGGAAAGAAAAUUUCUUGGCAUAAGCAAUGCAAUAGAAGCACGGUCUGAGCCAGGAGAAGAUCUUGAUAUACCCCUCGAUGAAACUCAUUUCGCAAAAGCGUGCGUUUCGAACGGAACUAUUUUUGGUCCAGGAUCUGCAAUGGAUACUUCCUCCUUCUGUGAAUAUUGCUAUUGUAUUGGAGGCAAAGAAACUUGCAUCAAACCUAAAUGCCUUCUUCCAGUGGAAGGCUGCACUCCUAUUUUCGACCCUUCCUACUGUUGUCCUAUACAUUACAAUUGUACUUCAACGACUAGAUUCUUAACAACCAGUACUACAACAGAGCUACCACGAUAUAA